rnacentral:rRNA from 10 species
GAAACGACUGCUAAGACUGGAUAGGAAGAUAAAAGGCAUCUUGUAUCUUUUAAAAGACCUAGUUAAUAGGUAUGCUUUAGGAGGGGCUUGCGCCAUAUUAGUUAGUUGGUAGGGUAAUGGCCUACCAAGACGAUGAUGUGUAGCUGGACUGAGAGGUUGAACAGCCACAUUGGGACUGAGACACGGCCCAAACUCCUACGGGAGGCAGCAGUAGGGAAUUUUCGGCAAUGGAGGAAACUCUGACCGAGCAACGCCGCGUGAAUGACGAAGUACUUCGGUAUGUAAAGUUCUUUUAUCGAGGAAGAAAAGCAAAUGGCGAACCAUUUGUUUGCCGGUACUUGAUGAAUAAGCCCCGGCUAAUUAUGUGCCAGCAGCCGCGGUAAGACAUAAGGGGCAAGUGUUAUCCGGAAUUAUUGGGCGUAAAGGGUGCGUAGGCGGUCUAGUAAGUCAGUGGUGUAAUGGCAACGCUUAACGUUGUCCGGCUAUUGAAACUGCUAAACUUGAGUUAGAUAGAGGCGAGUGGAAUUCCAUGUGUAGCGGUAAAAUGCGUAAAUAUAUGGAGGAACACCAGAGGCGUAGGCGGCUCGCUGGGUCUUAACUGACGCUGAGGCACGAAAGCGUGGGGAGCAAACAGGAUUAGAUACCCUGGUAGUCCACGCCGUAAACGAUGAGUACUAAGUGUCGGGUUAAACCGGUACUGAAGUUAACACAUUAAGUACUCCGCCUGAGUAGUACGUACGCAAGUAUGAAACUUAAAGGAAUUGACGGGACUCCGCACAAGCGGUGGAUCAUGUUGUUUAAUUCGAAGAUACCCGAAAAACCUUACCAGGUCUUGACAUGUUUUUGCAAAAUGAUAGUAAUAUCGUGGAGGUUACCAGAAACACAGGUGGUGCAUGGUUGUCGUCAGCUCGUGUCGUGAGAUGUUAGGUUAAGUCCUAAAACGAGCGAAACCCUUAUCGUUAGUUGCCAGCACGUUAUGGUGGGGACUUUAACGAGACUGCCAAUGAUAAAUUGGAGGAAGGUGAGGAUCACGUCAAAUCAGCAUGCCCCUUAUGACCUGGGCUACAAACGUGAUACAAUGGCUGUUACAAAGGGUAGCUGAAACGCAAGUUCUUGGCCAAUCCCCAAAAACAGUCCCAGUCCGGAUUGAAGUCUGCAACUCGACUUCAUGAAGUUGGAAUCGCUAGUAAUCGCGAAUCAGCAUGUCGCGGUGAAUACGUUCUCGGGGUUUGUACACACCGCCCGUCA